rnacentral:rRNA from 1 species
GGAAGGGGUGUAUUUAUUAGAUAAAAAACCAAUGGCUUCGGCCUCCUUGGUGAUUCAUGAUAACUUCACGAAUCGCAUGGCCUUGCGCCGGCGAUGGUUCAUUCAAAUUUCUGCCCUAUCAACUUUCGAUGGUAGGAUAGUGGCCUACCAUGGUUUCAACGGGUAACGGGGAAUUAGGGUUCGAUUCCGGAGAGGGAGCCUGAGAAACGGCUACCACAUCCAAGGAAGGCAGCAGGCGCGCAAAUUACCCAAUCCCGACACGGGGAGGUAGUGACAAUAAAUACUGAUACAGGGCCCUUCUGGGUCUUAUAAUUGGAAUGAGUACAAUUUAAACCUCUUAACGAGUAACCAUUAGAGGACAAGUCUGGUGCCAGCACCCGCGGUAAUUCCAGCUCUAAUAGCGUAUAUUAAAGUUGUUGCGGUUAAAAAGCUCGUAGUUGAACCUUGGGUCUGGCUGACCGGUCCGCCUCACCGCGUGCACUGGCUCGGCCGGACCUUUC